GGAUUGUAGCUUAGUGGUAGAGCACUUGCCUAGCAUGUGUGAGGCACUGGGUUCAAUUCUCAGCACCA
rnacentral:tRNA from 1 species